UUUUCGUUUCUGUCACGAACUAGCGACUGUACUUUCGAUAGAAUGAGUCACGACCUAAAUACUUUAGACGGCAAAACGGCGACCAUAUGGACUUGUUUGUAGUGAUGCUUUGAGAAAUCUAAAAUGAAGAACGUAUUCCUGUCUGCGUCUUCCGGAGUUUCAUCCAUUUCCGUCUCAUAACCUUGUAGCUAACGGUUUAGCUAUUCUGGGUGCCAUAUGUCCGGGUUUCUCCGGAUUUGUCUUAGUUUUGAGGUCGGCUUGGUGUGACUUUUGUACAACCGUCCAGAGUAAAGCCGGACCUUUUUUUGGGCCUGCAGAAUUCGACUGACUGGAGGUGCUGUGGCUGAAUCUGUUGCUGCGUCAUGGGAAACAAUGGCAUCUGCAGUCGAAAUUCGGCCACUUCGCCAUUUACACGAACAAGCAGGCAACCCGUUUCGCUGUGGGGGCUCUGUUUCUGCUGCAAGUCACUGUGGAGCCAUGGACAACACAACUUA